UGAGACAAGAAUACUUAUUCA
rnacentral:piRNA from 1 species